AUAAAUUGGUCCAUAAUUCUAGAAAUGAGAGCUGCUCCAUCCAAAGUGGGAUGGAUGCCGUCUCUCCUAACAAGACCAGGUUUCCUCCAGAAGGUUUGCCAAUUAUCUAUGAUGUGACUGUUCUCCUCAGUGGUAAAGCAGCUGUCUCUACUCCUGUGUCUCUGUCUCAGGUGGUCACCGUCCCGUCCAGGUGAUCAUCACAGAAUCAGGAAACCAACCAGACUCCCACCCUGUUCAGUGGAACGCCCACUCGUCUGCACACAUCACCCACUACAUCCUUAAAUGGAGAGUAUAAAGUUUUUUAGAUUUGUUUUCUCUUCCUCCAUUAUUGAGCAAAACUUAAUAUCUUUUUUUCAUUGAUAAUAAUUUCAGCCUGUAAACUGAGCCUCAGCCAAUUAUCUUACAUCUCAUGUCAUCUUACAGGAAACUCUCACAGCCCGAGGAGAGAGGUGGCAGUUCCUGGCCAUCUAAACUCACAGACGAGGGUCAGCUGAUCAGUGUGCUGCAUUUUGGACACAAACAGGUCCACAUUUUGACUUCACCACCACUUAUGGAUCGUUGGCUACAACACGAGGUCAGACCAACCCUCUUCCACCUGUGGUUGACAUCUCAGAGUCUGUGACCGAUAUGACCUCCAGCAGCUUCAUCAUCUCCUGGGUUUCUGCCUCAGACACAGUUUCAGGUUUCAGAGUGGAGUACGGGCUCAUUGAGCAGGGACACAGCACUGGAUAGCCUGUGGUUCUUGGUAGGGGCAGAUACAGACAUUUACACUUUCAGUUCAAAAGUGUUGUGUGUUGAAAUUUUGCCUGAUUACAAAUUCUCCUGCUCAUCACAGGUUUGUUGAUACAAGAUAUUUGUUUCUGUCAGAUGUGUCCUGCAGCUACCUCUGUGAACAUUAAUGAGCUUCUCCCUGGUACACUGUUAAUGUCUGUGAGGUUACUGAGGGAGGCGAGGACAACCUCAUUCUUACUACCUGACAAACAACAGCACCUGAUGGUCUCAAAGAGCAUGAAGUGGAGGAAGUGGGAGAUCCAUCCAUCAUGAUCAGCUGGGAAAAACCACUGGCUCCCAUCACUGGUAAGCUAUGCUAACAUUUUCAGUCGCUGGCUACUGAACUCAUCGGCCUGCACACGGGUAACUGUGUGGUCAUCCUCUGUGAAGGUUAUUGUGUGGUCUACACUCCAUCAGUAGAAGGUGAAAUCACAGAGCUGAAUCUCCUGAUGCAGCAACGUCUGUCACUCUGAGUGACCUUUGACCAAGGAAACCUGUAAACCAUCAACACGAAUGAACCUGCUUCAGCUGCUGCUCCUUACUACCCACAGCCUCCACUGAUGGAUGUGUCAGCUCACCUGUA